rnacentral:rRNA from 1 species
GAUGAACGCUGGCGGCGUGCUUAACACAUGCAAGUCGAACGGUGAACGAGGGAGCUUGCUCCCUCCGGAUCAGUGGCGAACGGGUGAGUAACACGUGAGCAAUCUGCCCUGGACUCUGGGAUAAGCGUUGGAAACGACGUCUAAUACCGGAUACGAGGCGUGGGGGCAUCCCCAACGCCUGGAAAGAACUUCGGUCCAGGAUGAGCUCGCGGCCUAUCAGGUAGUUGGUGAGGUAACGGCUCACCAAGCCUACGACGGGUAGCCGGCCUGAGAGGGUAACCGGCCACACUGGGAAUGGGACACGGCCCAGACUCCUACGGGAGGCAGCAGUGGGGAAUAUUGCACAAUGGGCGCAAGCCUGAUGCAGCAACGCCGCGUGAGGGACGACGACCUUCGGGUUGUAAACCUCUUUUAGCAGGGAAGAAGCGAAAGUGACGGUACCUGCAGAAAAAGCACCGGCUAACUACGUGCCAGCCGCCGCCGUAAUAC